UCCUUACACAUGGGAUGUUUCCUUUCUUAUCGCUCGGCCUGCUCAACCCCCUACCUUGGUGCGAUACUGCUGUUUCUCCUCUUCCUACACGCAGCAGCGCCGCAUCGAUUUGGGCGCUCACUACGUACGGUGCUCGCCGGAUUGGCCGGCGUCCCUGCCGCCGUACACGGUAGUGGAGGUCCCUUGAUGAAAACUCCUCUCUGCUGGUCCGUAGACGCCUCCUUUCGCCAUUCUCUCCUCUUCAGUUUUUUCGGGAUUUCUUCACCGUCCGGUUGUGCAUUGGCUUCCCCUAGGACCUUCUUGCGUCGCCUGAUUGAUCUGCAGGGUGUGCCGCCGUGGGAGACCCUAGGCCUCCACUUCCCGUGCUAAGCUUCCACCAUGGAAGGGGGAAGCAAAGGAGAUAGCAACAGCUUAGGGGCACAACCAGAAGAUCAACCGGUUCUUCUCCCAUCUACUGAUCUACAUGUCCAUAAAGCUGUGGAAUCACAAGAUCAACCGACUAUUCUCCUAUGCACUCAUCCAGAUCUCCUACAAAAUUAGGAAUCAACUACCAAUUUCGUCUAGCAGAUCCAAACAAGUCAACCAAUACUGCAUAUUCCACCCACACAUGACGAUCUGUCACAGCUAUUGGAUCUGAUGAAUCUAUCCUAGAUCCAACCGUACACGGCAACCCUGCUCCAGAGCAAUAUGUCUACCUCCCAGGGGUAAGUCAAAAGAAAAGAACACUCACAAGUUUUUUCCCAAGCGUGCAAUUUAAACUUAAACUACCUACACCACAUUAGCUCACCCUCUAUCUGCUUGAAAUUAUGAUGCAUUCACUGCUUUAGUCAUAUAGUUCAAACAUAUUACAAUAUAAUUGGCCAUUAUAUAUAUGCAAAGUAAAAUAUCAUUGCAGUAAACAUAUAGAAGAAUAACAAGACAUAUUGCACCCAUAUGAAUAAUAAUUUUAACAAACAAUACUAAUAUAUAUAUCUACAUGUACAUCUUUAUUUUUUAGACAAUUGUAUUAAGGUAUUUGUAUCCACACACAACCCAAUUGUGCUCACAAAUGUUUUUUUAGUCACCUUGAUAUAAAUAGGCUGCAACUAAAGUCUAUAUCUCAAAGCAGCUCCUGCUAACGCGAUUACAUCCAAGCCUGGCUUAGUCAUACAUUCGUCAUAGAUCAAGUUCGAAGGACCAGAUCAGUAUAGGGCCAAUUUAAACAUGGAUUUACCAAGAGUAGGCAUUCGGGUAUAAAAAAAUGAGAUACAUUCUAUGGUGAGGUAGCAGACACAUCCUACGAAGCUAAAGAGAGUACCACGCAUGCAGCCAUUCAAUGCCUUCAGAGAAAGAAAAAUAUUGCAAUAAAGGAUCUACUGAGAAGAAACUCCACACAACCAAGCAAAUGUUAGACCUGUUUGCACAUAGUCUAGAACUCCACAGAAACGAAGGUCACCUCCUCCAACAGAACCAACAGAAAUAUAACAUGUUAGUGAAUGAGAUCAACAUGAUCUGUGCCCAAAGUGCAUUAUACCUUCCCAAACAUGUCAAAUGGUUGGGACAACCAGCAUGGCCAAACAAAUGAUAUCUCUGUUGCAUACAUUGGCCAUUCUCCACCUGUCACAUCAAAUGAGAUACUUGCAAAGCAUCUGAUAGCUCUUACGCAGUACAAGCAUGAUUGAUCAUCCUUCCUUCCCACAUAGGCAAGUAUUAUUCAAUCUCCUACAUUAUACAUAUGAGUAUUUUCAAUGUACCAACAGGUCAUUACUAAACAAUGUCUAUUACCGACCAAGCUAUGCAUCCCAAAUAAUGAAUUGCAUGGAUUUUCAUUUUGCAGGAUAAACAAAUGUGUAUGUCACAUGGCUAGGAAAUCCAAAUGUGGCUAAACCAUCAAAGUGCUGUGUCCACAUUGUGCUAGCUUGCAUUUGCCCCUUUUUGUAGCAUAUGUUCAAACCGCUUGGACCAUCAUAAUUGAUGAGCAAAACAAUAUAUCCCUAUAUGUUAUCACCACUGUUAUAAUGUUAAGGUUGUUCAAAUAUUGUACCAUGUACAUAUCGUACCUGAUGUUAUCUGUAUAAAUUUCGUAUCCUGUACACAUAGAUAUCGACUCCAUGUAAAAUAAUCUACUCUAUGUUACUGUUGUUUCCUCUUUUAUGUAAAAAUGUCUAUGCCUAUUAUCUUCA